rnacentral:rRNA from 1 species
GACGAACGCUGGCGGCGUGCCUAAUACAUGCAAGUCGAACGCAGUUGCGAACGGGUGAGUAACGCGUAGGUAACUGCCUCAUAGCGGGGGAUAACUAUUGGAAACGAUAGCUAAUACCGCAUACUGUGAGAUGGACCUGCGUUGUAUUGGCCAGUUGGUGAGGUAAAGGCUCACCAAGGCGAAGAUACAUAGCCGAGCUGAGAGGGUGAUCCGCCACACUGGGACGUGGACACGGCCCCGAAUCCCUCCGGAGGCAGCAGUAGGGAAUCUUCGGCCAAUGACGGAAGUCUGACCGCGGAACGCCGCCUGAGUGAAGAAGGGUUUCGGAUCUUAAAGCUAUGUUGUUAGAGAAGCGUUAACUAACCAGAAAGGGACGGCUAACUACGUGCCAGCCGCCGCGGUAAUUC